UACGUAGGGACCGAGCGUUGUUCGGAUUUACUGGGCGUAAAGGGCGCGUAGGCGGCUUAACAAGUCACUUGUGAAAUCUCCGGGCUUAACUCGGAACGGCCAAGUGAAACUGUCAAGCUAGAGUGCAGAAGGGGCAAUCGGAAUUCUUGGUGUAGCGGUGAAAUGCGUAGAUAUCAAGAGGAACACCUGAGGUGAAGACGGGUUGCUGGGCUGACACUGACGCUGAGGCGCGAAAGCCAGGGGAGCAAACGGG
rnacentral:rRNA from 1 species